rfam:Fusarium oxysporum f. sp. cubense race 1 unplaced genomic scaffold scaffold80, whole genome shotgun sequence.
CCAUAUGAUGACUCUGCUAUUAUUAGCUCUAUCCGAGUUCAUCGUGACGAACAACCUAUUCACCUUGGAGAACUGAUAU